GAGGUAUUUUGAUGCACAAUCACGUCUUCCUAUAUCAAAAAGGUUUAAAAACCACCAUCAAGGAGGCUUUCACAACAAACGUUAAGGAUGCUGUGCAAACACUUAAAAAUAGAACUGUGAGUUUCAGAGAAAUUAGAUUAGGGGGAAGAAAGCAACCAGACCUCUGUUUUCCUAAGUCAGCUCAUUAGGCACAAGUCGUAUUUAAAGUGAGACUUCUUCACACUCACAGACCAAGAUCCGACAUCCUCCGUGGCUGGGCUUGCUGGACUCUCUGUGCACCAUGAGAAACAGACAUCUCAGGUUGCUGCCAGGACUCUCAGUGCUGCUGUUGUUGCCAUUGGGAGCUGCAGCCCUGAAUGCUGGAGCCUGUGUUCGAUGGUGCCCUCCAAACCCUCCAUGUGUCAACGCCAACGCCUGUCGCUGCAUUCCAGGACUCAGUUCUGUAUCUCCAAAUAUCAUAUCCAGCCCCGUGGAGAGUUGUGACGGUACAGUAGGGGCUUGGGGUGGUGGGGGCAUGUGGAGACGGUGGGGCAUCCAGAGCCUUCAGCCCCAAGAGCAGCACAGAAGCACUGUGUCAGGGAUGAGAGAAGAGCCAGGCAGGGGAAGUGUGAGGGACGUGGGCACCUGCUUUCACGGUCAGUAGGGAGAGAGUUGAGAGCUCACACAGGGCAGCUGGGCUCCGAGGGCUCCGAGGGCUCCAAGUGCUGCUCUGCCCCUGACUGGCUCUCCGACAUUCGGGAAAUUGGUUCUCCUUUCAGUUUGCUUGUGUGUAAACUGAGUAUUAUCAUCCAGUCCCCCCAUGGGGAUGGUGCAAGACUUAAUAUUUACCUGUGUGAAGAACAGGGAAAGAGUAGUACACAGCAAAAAUGCAAGCCAUCAUCUUUGUACUGCUGUUAUUAUGAUUUUGUUAUUAUUAUUAUUCUCAUUGCACAAAGAAAGAGGACAAAUAAUGGAAGCAACAGGAGGAAAGACACAGCCCGGGCCUGGAAGCUCAGGCUCCUACCAGCCAGAGCUCGCCAGGAACCCAGCUCACGACCAUGGUCUCCCACCUCAUGCUCACAGCAGCCCCGUGAGGGAGGCAGAGCUCGGCCUGUGGUUUAAAUGAUCAGAUUUGGUGGAAAGAGAUCGAGUGACUUUUCCAAAUCCUACAACUAAUAAUGUGGUCGAAUGUAAAUCCAGGUGUAAAACAAAGGAGUUUUCAUUCUUUAAAAAUACAGGGUCAUAAAAGGAAAUUAUACUAUUUUAAAAUUAGUAAGAUGGUAAAUUUUAUGUUGUGCAUUUUACCACAAUCUUUAUAAAUAGGAAAAGAAGAAAAUUAUACUGUUUUUACACUAGGAAAUAGUCUCCAUGGACUCAAAAUGGUCUCAGAUGCGUAUUUAUUGAUAAUGAAGGUAAAAACAUUCCCUAUAUGUCUGAAAAAAUGAGAAAAAAUACCCCUAAAAGUUUCGGUAGUCUGUGGAAUGGAUUAUGGAUAAUUUUCUUUGCUUCCUAGUAUACGUGUGUUAUUUAGUAUUUGGGGGAAAGUAAAUUUUGUCAGGUGGAAAAAGCCGACGUUGUUGUGACAACAGCCCAGCCAUCCAUGACCCUGGCGGUGUUCCUAAAGUCUCCUCUGUGUGUGCGUGUGUGUCUCACGGAGAUUUGUA
rnacentral:lncRNA from 1 species